rnacentral:hammerhead_ribozyme from 1 species
AUCCAGCUGACCAGUCACAGAUAGGACGAAACGCGCGUCCUGGAU